rnacentral:rRNA from 1 species
GAUGAACGCUGGCGGCGUGCCUAAUACAUGCAAGUCGAGCGAACGGACGAGAAGCUUGCUUCUCUGAUGUUAGCGGCGGACGGGUGAGUAACACGUGGAUAACCUACCUAUAAGACUGGGAUAACUUCGGGAAACCGGAGCUAAUACCGGAUAAUAUUUUGAACCGCAUGGUUCAAAAGUGAAAGACGGUCUUGCUGUCACUUAUAGAUGGAUCCGCGCUGCAUUAGCUAGUUGGUAAGGUAACGGCUUACCAAGGCAACGAUGCAUAGCCGACCUGAGAGGCUGAUCGGCCACACUGGAACUUAGACACGGUCCAGACUCCUACGGGAGGCAGCAGUAUGGAAUCUUCCGCAAUGGUCGAAAGCCUGACGGAGCAACGCCGCGUGAGUGAUGAAGGUCUUCGGAUCGUAAAACUCUGUUAUUAGGGAAGAACAUAUGUGUAAGUAACUGUGCACAUCUUGACGGUACCUAAUCAGAAAGCCACGGCUAACUACGUG